CAGCACCUCAAGUGGUCAGGAUGAUUAUUGGGCCUAAAGCAUCCGUAGCCGGCUUUGUAAGUUUUCGGUUAAAUCCAUGUGCUCAACGCAUGGGCUGCCGAAAAUACUGCAUAGCUAGGGAGUGGGAGAGGUAGACGGUACUCAGUAGGUAGGGGUAAAAUCCUUUGAUCUAUUGAUGACCACCUGUGGCGAAGGCGGUCUACCAGAACACGUUCGACGGUGAGGGAUGAAAGCUGGGGGAGCAAACCGGAUUAGAUACCCGGGUAGUCCCAGCUGUAAACGAUGCAGACUAGAUGAUGCAUUGGCAUAAUAGCCAUUGCAGUGUCUCAGGGAAGCCGUUAAGUCUGCCGCCUGGGAAGUACGUACGCAAGUAUGAAACUUAAAGGAAUUGGCGGGGGAGCACCACAAGGGGUGAAGCCUGCGGUUCAAUUGGAGUCAACGCCAGAAAUCUUACCCGGAGAGACAGCAGAAUGAAGGUCAAGCUGAAGACUUUACCAGACAAGCUGAGAGGUGGUGCAUGGCCGUCGCCAGCUCGUGCCGUGAGAUGUCCUGUUAAGUCAGGUAACGAGCGAGAUCCCUGCCGCUAGUUGCUAUCAUUAUUCUCAGGAAUAGUGGAACGAAUUAACGGGACUGCCGUUG
rnacentral:rRNA from 1 species